GCUCUUAGGUUUGUUAAGAGUAGGGCCUGCCCAGUGUUAAACGGCUGCAGUAGCCUGACUGUACAAAGGUAGCAUAAUCACUUGCCCUUUGAUUGGGGGCUGGCAUGAAGGGCACCACCGGGUAGUAAGUUUUGCAACUUGAAUUUAAGUUACCCGUGCAAAUGCGGGUAUAAACCCUAAGGACGAGAAGACCCCAGGAGCUGUGGGAGGCCUUUGGUUGGGGCAACCAAAGCACAAAUCAAACUGCUUAUGAGUUACCCUGGGGAUAACAGCACAAUAGUUAGUUUGAGUACGGAUUGGGCUAAUUGUUUGUGACCUCGAUGUUGAGUUGAAAGGUGCAGGGGCUUUAGUCUGUUCGACUAGUAGAAUUUCACA
rnacentral:rRNA from 1 species